AACGAACGCUGGCGGCAGGCUUAACACAUGCAAGUCGAGCGCCCCGCAAGGGGAGCGGCAGACGGGUGAGUAACGCGUGGGAAUCUACCAUCUCUACAGAAUAACGCAUGGAAACGUGUGCUAAUACCGUAUACGUCCUUCGGGAGAAAGAUUUAUCGGAGAUGGAUGAGCCCGCGUUGGAUUAGCUAGUUGGUGGGGUAAAGGCCUGCCAAGGCGACGAUCCAUAGCUGGUCUGAGAGGAUGAUCAGCCACACUGGGACUGAGACACGGCCCAGACUCCUACGGGAGGCAGCAGUGGGGAAUAUUGGACAAUGGGCGCAAGCCUGAUCCAGCCAUGCCGCGUGAGUGAUGAAGGCCCUAGGGUUGUAAAGCUCUUUCACCGGUGAAGAUAAUGACGGUAACCGGAGAAGAAGCCCCGGCUAACUUCGUGCCAGCCGCCGCAGUAACAC
rnacentral:rRNA from 1 species